AGACCCGAAACCCGGUGAUCUAGCCAUGGGCAGGUUGAAGGUUGGGUAACACUAACUGGAGGACCGAACCGACUAAUGUUGAAAAAUUAGCGGAUGACCUGUGGCUGGGGGUGAAAGGCCAAUCAAACCGGGAGAUAGCUGGUUCUCCCCGAAAGCUAUUUAGGUAGCGCCUCGUGAAUUCAUCUCCGGGGGUAGAGCACUGUUUCGGCUAGGGGGCCAUCCCGGCUUACCAACCCGAUGCAAACUGCGAAUACCGGAGAAUGUUAUCACGGGAGACACACGGCGGGUGCUAACGUCCGUCGUGAAGAGGGAAACAACCCAGACCGCCAGCUAAGGUCCCAAAGUCAUGGUUAAGUGGGAAACGAUGUGGGAAGGCCCAGACAGCCAGGAUGUUGGCUUAGAAGCAGCCAUCAUUUAAAGAAAGCGUAAUAGCUCACUGGUCGAGUCGGCCUGCGCGGAAGAUGUAACGGGGCUAAACCAUGCACCGAAGCUGCGGCAGCGACACUCAGGUGUUGUUGGGUAGGGGAGCGUUCUGUAAGCCUGCGAAGGUGGCCUGUGAGGGUUGCUGGAGGUAUCAGAAGUGCGAAUGCUGACAUAAGUAACGAUAAAGCGGGUGAAAAGCCCGCUCGCCGGAAGACCAAGGGUUCCUGUCCAACGUUAAUCGGGGCAGGGUGAGUCGACCCCUAAGGCGAGGCCGAAAGGCGUAGUCGAUGGGAAACGGGUUAAUAUUCCCGUACUUGGUGUUACUGCGAAGGGGGGACGGAGAAGGCUAUGUUGGCCGGGCGACGGUUGUCCCGGUUUAAGCGUGUAGGCUGGUUUUCCAGGCAAAUCCGGAAAAUCA
rnacentral:rRNA from 1 species